UACGGAGGGUGCGAGCGUUAAUCGGAAUUACUGGGCGUAAAGCGUGCGUAGACGGUUAUUUUAAGUCGGAUGUGAAAGCCCCGGGCUCAACCUGGGAAUUGCAUUCGAGACUGAAUAGCUAGGGUACGGUAGAGGGAAGUGGAAUUUCCGGUGUAGCGGUGAAAUGCGUAGAUAUCGGAAGGAACAUCAGUGGCGAAAGCGACUUCCUGGACCAGUACCGACGUUCAGGCACGAAAGCGUGGGGAGCAAACAGG
rnacentral:rRNA from 1 species